rnacentral:lncRNA from 1 species
UCAAUUCCAUCUCGACUCACAACUGACUACGCAAGUACUUGACUGCACCCAGUGACCUUCCAUCACUAAAUUAGAAAUUUAGGUAGUCCGGUACCAAAGUACAGUGAGUUGUUUGCUAGUCACAGGCUGCGAUCUCAGGUCAGAGGGCCAAACUUAUACCCAUAUCCACUCGGAACAUCUCUUGACAGUAGAGCGUUACGGAAUUAGUCACGUUCAGUGAAAUGUACUCCUACA